CAGGUAUAGUUUAGUGGCAAAAUGAGAGCUUCCCAAGCUUUAGUUGCGGGUUCGAUUCCCGCUACCUG
rnacentral:tRNA from 1 species